rnacentral:rRNA from 1 species
UACGAAGGGUGCAAGCGUUGUCCGGAAUUAUUGGGCGUAAAGAGCUCGUAGGCGGUCUGUCGCGUCUGCUGUGAAAAUCCAGGGCUCAACCCUGGACCUGCAGUGGGUACGGGCAGACUAGAGUGCGGUAGGGGAGAUCGGAAUUCCUGGUGUAGCGGUGAAAUGCGCAGAUAUCAGGAGGAACACCGGUGGCAAAGGCGGAUCUCUGGGCCGUAACUGACGCUGAGGAGCGUAAGCAUGGGGAGCGAACAGG